rnacentral:tRNA from 1 species
CGAUUCCUAGCUCAUGUUGGUUAGAGCGCCGCCCUGAUAAGGCGGAGGUGCCGGGUUCGAGACCCGGGGAAUCGACAA